ensembl:lncRNA
CAGCAGGCUGUCAGUCGGCAUCAGAGCACCGCAGAAAGGAGGAGGAACAGGUAAGAAGCUCAUAAUUUACCAGGAACACUUGUUGGAGUUUAAUGGGAGCGCUUUGGUACAGCUUUUUUUGCUGACACUGAUUUCGGGUGAGAAAUGCGCUGCUUUCACUUAAGAGAGUUCACGGCUAUUUUCCUCAAACUGGAUCGCAGAAAAACUAGUCUUUUUUUAAGGAUAGGGCUGAGGAACAGAUAAUCCAGCUGAUGCAGGGAAGCACAGAGACUGCUUCAGGUCAAAACUGUGCGCAAAAAUAGUUAAGCUAAACUUUUAAAGUUUAGCCUGCGGCAAAUGGAGAUGCAGGCUUUCAUACAUUCAGCCAAAGUACAUAGUAACAUUCCGAAUGAUUGAUUUAGCAUGUAGAUCUUCAAAUAAUGAAUCUUGAGACAGGCAUUGUAAACGGAGAGAAGGUACCGUACAGUUUGAUAAUCCAAUUUCCAAUCCAAUUUUAUUUAUAAAGCACUUUAAAAUACCCAGCACAGGACCAAAGUGCUGUACAGAAAAUAAGUUAAAAACAAUAGAAUAAAAGAAAACAGCACAAAUGAAUCAAUAUAACACAUAAUACAUAAAAAUUAAAAUAGCCCUAUAUUAAAAAAGAAAACAAGAUAAAACAGCACAGAAUCAACUAAAAACAACUAAAAUAAAAAUAAAUAAAUAAAAACCAACAUCUCAUGUGGUGUCAAAGGCCAGGGUAAAGAGCUGCUUUUUCAGGAGUGACUUAAAAACGGGUAGGGAAGACUGUUAAGAAUAGGUAAUUAAUAUGGUGAUUGAAGAACUAUGAAGUAGGAUUAAAGCUACUGUUGUUCCAGGAGCAUUAUGUAAGAGCUGUUCAGAGUUAUCAGCAUUAGUGUGAUAAUGUUACCAGAAAUCAAUAGUCCUCAACUUUUGUGGCCUGCCUUACUGCAGUCUGUGUUUGAGCUUGAGUACUUUUCAUGGUGCUGGUAUGCAGGUUGUAAUACCUGUAGUGUAUUAAUACUGUGGAGAAACGUGUAAGUAAUGCAGAUACCGUUACUUAAAAAAAAAAAAAAUUUCAAUACAAUAUUAAAUACUUUAAAUUUGAUUAUAGAAUGAAAUAUAAAGUGCAACAUAGUGCAAUUGUGUAACAUCGUAUUAUACAAAGUCAGCGUGGACUCAAAAGUGGUUACUACAGGCUUGUCCUUGCUUUGUAUCAUGUUAAUGAAACAACCUAAAAUUAGGCGCUGGGCUCAUUCUCACUGUUGAGCUACAUUACACAUUUCAGUGUUGAAAAACUUGACUGACAUGCAAAGAGCCUUGACCUCGGUCUUUUCCAACACCUUCAGGAUGAACUGGAAAAUCAUGUGGAAACCUUUUAGGAGUCUGAGCUAGAGGAGCAUUUAGUGUCUGUGGCUUUGGAAUGACAGAUUCAGUUUUCAUGUGUAUUGUGGGUGUGCUGUGUGCAGUUUGUGUCUACAUACUUAUGGCCAGAAAGUAUAGUGUGAGGAGUUUAUACUACCUUCCAUGAAAUCUCAAUGUUGUAAAGUGGCAUGAAAAUAUAAGUUUUACAGUUUCUUAUCCACCAUAAUAGUGACUUUAAGCUACGUCUCUGCAAGAUCAAACUCGUGUCAGGCAUUGACAAUAAAAUUCCUUUUUCUUUUUUUAAUACUGAUGAUAUCUAACAGUUUUCAUUUUCUCAAGAGUACUCUGCCCCCUGAUAAGAGGCCAACAGAGAUGAGAUGUUAUCUUUAUUUCAGCUGGGUGGAGGGCGCUAUGUGAACUUUUACUGACUCCACGUGGAGCUGCUGUGUUACUUAACACUUAAUUAGUAAUAGUCACAACAACAAUAACAACACCUAACCAAACCAUGCUGUUCUUAACUGGGUCUCUACCCCUGCAUGCCUGUUUGGUUGAAGAAUUAAGUUGGGCGACUGAUUACAAGCUGUGAUUGUUUGUGUGGGUGUGUUUAUGUGCGUGUGUGUAAUCACAGUAAAACACAGUCCUGGAGACACCAACAGUAGUGAGAACUAUGGCAGUUUUAAGCCAGAAGAUACAACAGGCUAGAGAGAGCAGUGGUUGUUAGGCUAGUUCUUCUGUGAAAUAGUCGCCACAAAUCGAUAUUAUUUUAUCACAUUAACAAUAAUUAAAGGAAUAAGUGAGUUCCUAUAGCCAUUGUGAGCUUAUAUCUUUGUAUUUUUUUUCUAGUUUCUUUUGUUUUUAGCUUGCAGGCCAGCGAGCGUGUUGCUACGCAGCUACUUUUACAGUCUUGACAGCUAGCUUAAGAAGCAGGGAUAUUAGUUAUACAUGAGUUGCUUUAAAGGGUGACGUCAAGCACAUACAAUUAAUUAUUAUAUUUCUGAAAGUUCUGUUUUCUCACAUAUGUUGCAAAAUGUAGAAAAUGUCAGCCUCACAGAGAUGUGCUAGCAGGCUAAAAUGAAGUCAGCUUUACGCAGUUAUGUGUUAAAUAUCGGUGUUGUUGUCCUGUGUUCAGAAUGUAAAAUGUGCUUUCUAAAGCUGGUUUUUCACAAUUGUCUAAGGAAAAUUGCAGUCAUUCAUGUGUAAAUGUUUUCUUGGCUGAAGAAUGCAGAAACUAUUGCCAGCUGUUAGCAUUACUGAUUUUCUUGCUUAGCUAAAGUAUCUUUGUAUUAGUUCACUUUCCAUGUCUUUAUCUUUCAUUCCAUCUUUUUCUGUUCUGAUCACCCUCAUCUCCUACACAGCUGUGCUUUUUCGUUCACUGUUAUCUAACAUAUUUUUUACUGUUACUCUCAAUUUUGCACUAUUUUACUCUUGACUCUUCAGUUUUUAGUGUGUGUGUGUAUAUAUGUUUUUUUGUUUUUUAUUUUUUUUAUUUUACUUACACUGUGUAAAUGAUGACUUGGAUUUUCUUGCAUGCCAGAAGUUAAGCUUUUUAGUUUUGUUGUAUUUAGUACUCUAGUAUAUGUUACAUUAUUUUUUGUACAUGCUUAAAAAGCUGCCAAAGCUUUUAGCUUACACUAUAUAUGUGUGUGCGUGUGUGUGUGUGUGUGUGUAUAUGUAUAUGUUCUGAUAUAAUAUAUAUAUAUAUAUAUAUAUAUAUAUAUAUAUAUGAUGUGUGUAUGACAUUGAUUCAUUUAGUCUAGACACAAUGUACAUGACAAUAUGUACAUGUUUUUAAAAAGGGUUGAACCAAGGCAAUGACUGACCCAACACACCCCACAAGGCAUUAGUCAUUGCAUAUUGUGCAGCAGUAUUUCUCUCUUUUUCUAUGUCAAAUUUUGACUUAAUCCCUUUUCUCACUGAGAAUGUUCCAACAAUUCAUCAUACCUCUCUCUGUUUCAGUCACCCUUUCUCCCCUUUCACUCUCACCCAGUUCCUUUGGUUUCUUAAUACCACUUUCUUAUCUUUUGGAUGUUUCAGUUUUUCCUUUUCAUCAGUUUUUCAAACUCAACCAUGUGUAUGUAUGGGACAAAAACAUUUAGUUUAAUCAUGUGUAACAACUUCAACCUGUUUCUGUAUCCAGCCUCUGUCCUUCGCACACCCAUCCUCUCUUUAAUGCGUUUUAAUGGAACUACAUUCUUUCACUUGACUCUAGCCCAGGCAGUUAACGAACCAGACCAACAAGAAUACACAACUGAUCUCUUUCACAGUUUUGCUCAGCACACACCCACCCUACACUCUCUCAUUGCUCUCUCUCUCUUGCCUUGUCACUGUUUGUAAUGGAGUAGAGAUGGGUUAAAAUGUUGUGUAAGUAAGUGUUAAUGCAAGUCAAAGAAUAACAGAUUGUAAAAAAAAAAAAAAAAAAAUCUCAAAUUCUGUGUAAGAUCUUUGCUGGAUUUUUUUCCCUGUUUCUUAAGGGCAUAAAUUUCAGACACUGUUUAUCUGUGGUAGAUAAUUUCUUUUCAUAAGGAAGUGGAAGGAUUGCCACUUCUCUUGUCCUAUAUUUGUCCAGUUUCCCCGAAUGUUUUAAGGAAACACUGCACGCCAUGCUGAGAUACCACCUUUUGGUGUAAAAAUAAUAUUUUUUCCCCCUUACACUGUAUUAUCUUUGCCAUUUUUCCAGACAUUCAGCUAAAGAAAUGAGGACAAAUAAUGUGGCUAAAGAUAGAUUUCUGAAUUGGUUCGUUGCUAAGUUGUCUGUUAUGUAUAGACACAACACUGGUUUAUCCCUUGUGUUAAGUGCGUUUUUUAUGCUUGAAUGAUUCAUCGGUUAGUGUUGAGUGGCUUAACAAACAAAGAAACAUUUAUCCAAAAAUGGUCAGGUACAAUGACUGGAGUGAAAUUGAGUGAAAAGGCAGCCAAUGUUCAAAUACAAAAGCUCAAAGAUUGACUUUUUAAAAAGAAAGGCUCCUUGUAAGCAAAGAAAGAAAUGAAGGAUACUUUAAGACCUUUGCACAGGACUGUAUGAGGAGACAUUUUAUUUAAAUUAUAUUUAAAUUCCUUGUAAAUGCACAUUUGGAUAUCUGUUACAGAGAAACUUAUCUAGCCAUUAGAUUAUGGUAACUUAAUUGCUGUUGACGUGGCCUUCACAGUACCUUUAGCUACAUGCCAGUAACACGUUACAGUUGCUUACUACCCACAACACUUGGCCUACAUCACAAACAGGUUAGCCGCAUUAAUUAAAGGGAAUGGCUUUAAGAGAAAUGUAUCCUGUAUCUAUGGUUUCAGUUUCUCUAGUCAACUCACUGCCAGUGCACAAACCUAACUUUGCCAACACCAUCAUCAGCCCUGCAACCCACUGCACUCUUGGUGUCACAUUUUUGCUAGUUUAACAUUAAAAUUUAUGUGAUGAGCUGAUAAUAAUUUGGAGCUUUUGCAUUUACAGUAUAGUGUAAAAUGUCUUUUUUGGCUUUCAUAAAUACAAAGUGCUGUUUGAGGGUUUAGACUUGGCUUUAGUUUAAAAAUUACAAUCAAGUAAAGCUUCAUAGCAACAUGGCUGAAACUCUGACAAUUGUUUCUCAUUAACUUUAUUGGUAAUGUUUAUUUUGUUUUCUUCAAACUGAAAAAAGAUAUUAUGGAAAGCAUUUCUUAAACACUAACUAGGAAGUCUAAUAAGGACGUCCAAGCAGUCUUAAAGAAGUAGCUCAAAGUGAUGUUGAAUUGACAUCUGCAACAUCAGUUUGACUUUCAUUUUGGAGCAUGCUGAACCUGAUGUGCAUUUACUGGACGAAAGUUUUCAUCCCAUCCUUGAAGUCUUGAUCAAAAACUAAAAUGAUUUUUUUCAAGACAUCAAAUUAAAGAAAGAAAAAAUGGUUUUGGGCAAAUUAUAUAAAGAUUAAUAAGGAUGUAUAUAAUUUUCAUCAGUGCUUUCUAAUCCUGAACACAUUAGCACUAAGGCUACAUUCACAUCACAUGCUGAUGCGGCCUGAAUCGAGAUUUUAUAGCUCCAAAUGACUGUGGGAACUAAUAAAUUACACAUCAGAACUGGCUCACUUGGAUACGUUUUCCUAGAACGUACUGCACAAGAGAUUUACUAAAAACAAAUGAAAUUUAAAAAAAAAAAAAAAAGAAUAUCAGUAAGGCCUGUAUUGUGAACAGUUUCCCAAGCCCAUUUGGGACAGUCUCAUAGACGAUCCCAACUUUCACAAAGCUGGGUGUGUGCGAGAAUAAUUGAGAUUAUAGAUGAUGUCAUUGUUUUUAAGAAAUUGUUUCUCACCUGUAGAUACAAGUCCUUAUGUGUGACUACUUCAUUUGCCGAAACCUCCAUUACCUUAACGUUUAGCUAUGCCAUUUAAGUAAGAAUGAUGACAUCAGCAUUCAGAAAUUCACUUGAUGUCAAAUCUUUGGUGACAAGUUUUGACAUUUUUAUUAGAAAGGGCAGUUACAAAUUUAAAUUCAAGAAUGUUUUAAUCCAUUUUUUUCCUUGAAUUUUCAGGAAAAGGUUUAUUUUAUUUAUUUUAUUUUCUUAAGGUAAUAUUCCAAUCAAACAUCCACAUACUCAGCAUUUAUAAUCAGUAUUUUUGAUCUUCUAAAGAAAGUAAUUAUGCACUUUUUCAGUGUCAUGUUUGUGCACAGGUAGGUGAAUGCAAUUAGGUGACGAAAAACACCAAAGUGUCUUGUCUUAUUGAGGUGCAUUCCCAUAGCUGUUAUGCUUUUUUGCUCACAGUGCUGUCUGUCAGAUGAUAUUCAAAGUAUGUCUGUGUUUGCUGUCAUUCUUCCUAAAGCUUCACUUGUGUUUGCAGAAGUGAUUGUACAUGUUCAGCAGCCUGACGGAGACAAUAUGUCAAAUACCUGAACCUUAAAAACCAUUACGUUGUCUUUUUAUGCAGCUUAGUAAUCAUUCAUUCUCCACUUAAUGAAAUGCACUUGAUUAAAACAGUCUGACCGCCUGUAUAACAGCAGAUGUUUUGGCAGUGUGAUGGUCUGUAGCUUUCAACUAACCACAGUCCUUCCAGGAGUAGAUGUUCCAACAUCUAGUCCUGGGACGAUUAUGACAGUACAAUUAGAAAAAACCUGAUCAAGUGUUUCUUAUUUCGAAGAGUUUCCGGGAGAAAACUUCCUUUCUUUAAGAAAAACAUGGCAGUAUUGUUUAGAUUCAUGAAACGAUGUCCUUCAGACAGAGAAGACUGGUGUGGAGAUGUUUGGCCAAAACCAAACACAGCAUAUCAACACCGCAAACUACUGCCAGCUGUCACUCAGCUGGCCAUGAUCUGCUCUGUGUACCAAAGUAUUUUGGAGUCAAGUGUGAGACCAGCUAUCUGACAUGUUGGCCCCAAUUGAGUCAUUCAACAAGAAAAUGAUCCUAAGCACAACAGCAAAUCUACAACAGAAUGGCUGAAAAAGAAAAGGUGAUGUGACGAUCCGGUCAAAGUCCAGAGCUCAACCUGACUGAAAUGCUGUGGCAGGACUUUAAGCAAACUAUGCACAACCUCAAUGAACUGAAGCGAUGAUGUAAAGAAAACAACCAUAAUUCCUCCAGAAAUGACGUGAGAGACUGGAAAGGUCAUAUAGAAAGCAGUUACUCUAAGUUAUAGGUGCUAAAUGUAGUUCUACAAACUGUUAAGUCAUGGGUGUACUUAGUUUCAAAAAACUAGAAUCUUCCUUUGGAAAGUUUGUGGAAUGAUAGCUCGGCUUCACAAAACAGUAUAAUUAUUUAUCUUCUAUUGCCCCUAGGUUUACAACAAGCCACCUAUUGUGUGCAACAUUCAUUCCUAUUAUAAUCAAAUGUCAAGCUGUCUGGUUUGGGAAACACCCCAUAGUGGCAUCUGGUGCCCAUCAAUCAUUAACACAAUGGAAGAAAGAAUUUUUUAUAAACCCCUGAAAAAAAAGAAGAAGAAAAAAGAUCUCUGUGCAGUUAGUCACUGUGGUUUAAAGAAAUGUUCAUUAAUGACAUUUAGUGUUGUGCUAGCUGCCUUUCUAUAGAACAGAUUGUUUGGUGGCUCAAUAAAAGACGUGGAGCUACUGUGCAUGUGUGAGAGAGAAGAGAGACACUGGGGAAAAAAACUUUACUGUUUCCAUGAAGUGAAAAUAAAGAUGUCCUUAUGCAUUACAAAUUACUCACUCAAUUCAUCAGUUUCACAACUCUAAGCCUGCAGUUCCAGGAUGAUUCAGUGUAGAAAUACAUCAAAAUGUUAAAAUAAUGUUGUUGUUGUUUUUUUAAAAAAAAAAACCAACAACAUUAUUUUAAAAAUACGGCAUCUUAACAUAAGGCUUGUUCUAGCUCACAAUCUUUUAAUUAUGCACACACAGGAGUCACAUAAAAGCAUGACUGAAUGUGACAUUAUGCCACAAACUGCAAGUCAACAGUGAAUCAUGUGAAAGCAGCAGGAAGGAGAUGGUAUGUUAGGAAUCAGGGCGUGAGUUUUGAAGGACAAGAUGAACGUACACACACACGCAAACUAUUUGGUACCAUGUUGUGAUCUCCUCGUUUUAGUAACACUAUGUAAUUCAAAUAUUACUUUUCUUAUUGGAGCUGCGGGUGGACUAACACUGUGUGCUGGUAUCAGUCCUGCAGGUAGAAACUCCCCUUUCUUUGAUAUAUCUCUCGCAUGACUUCACACUAGUCUAAGGUCAAGAUGGCUGACUUCCUAGAAAAUCACUUUCUUUCACUGAGCUGUUUAUAACGCAGAUAAGUUUAACCUGUCUUUCAUAAUGCCAUUAUUGCAGACUGCAGCAGCACCACUUUAACACAAACUCGAGGACUUCCUGUUCUUUUGUACUCACUUGGGUUGCAGGUAUAUGUGUCAGUAGUCACCUGCUUACAGUUUUCAUGCUAGGUUAAACUAAGAGCCUCUCAGCUGUACUAAUAAUAUUUAACAUACAGACAAGGGCCAUACCACUGCUGUGUUUUAAUCAGGUGAUACAGGGGAGAGUAUCAACAAGCAGGGGCAGGGGACAAAGAAAACCAUAAUAAAUGAUGAAAUGAAUAAAGCGAACUGCUGUGUUGAAUAUACUGAAAACAGUAAAGCUAAUAGUAUUUGCACUCUUAGCUACAGUUCAUAGACCUACUUUAAAAAAAAAAAGGUUUAAUAUCAAAAUAUACUUAAAGUAAAAAUACUCUUCAUGUGGAAUGAGCCCUUUCAGAAUCUUAUUGGAUUGCAAUUUUUUGAGGUAUUAAUGUGUACUAGCGAAAACCUAUCAUGGUAUUCUUCUUUAUUUUCAUCGGUUACUGCAUAUAGAAAGACAGGAAAAACAGAUGUUCAUAAACACCAAACAAAUACACAUAUUUCUUCUUUUUCUCCUUUUCAAGAUACGUAUUCAUUGUAAAAGAUAAAGUAAUCAGUUACAGGUACUAAUAGCCUCACUGUUUGAACACGUAUUUACAACUCAUUGUAGUUCCAAUUUGGACAUCACAUUAAGUCGAUUCCAGUUCUGUGUUCAUGGGUCAUCUGCAGAUCUAUGAAUUUGCUUUCUAAUGUUGUUGUUACCUUUUGUUAUCAUUACAUUAUAUUAAAAAUGUAGCUGUGUAAUAGUGUAGCUUUCAGCAGUCACAUUUCUUUUGUCUGUUGCCACUGUGGCUGCUGUUUUAGCAAAAAAUAAGUUUUAAAAUCACUGACAGGGUAGUGAUUUUAAGCUCUGUGGACACCAUACAAACUGAAUUGCUUUUAGAGAUUAUCAAAAUAACUUACUAUAAUGCAAUCCAUUACACUAUCCAUUUGUAAAUUCAAUAAGAAGAAAAACUGCAGUACUGUAUAAUUUAGCUGAAGUGGGAAAGCUUCACAUUCUGGUUCUAGAAACGUCGCUCUUUUUGCUGUUGAUUUCCUUCCAUUUCAUCAUCCUUUCCAAAGCUCACACUCGCCUCCAUAACAUAGUGCUCGGGCCAAAUGGUUUCGGUUUGAAGGUCAUGAGCGUGUUUUGGAACCCAUUUUCUACAUCUUGUAAAUUCUUCCGCUAAUGGACACCUGAGAGUUAAUUAUUCAUCUACAUCAUUUAGAAACUGCUACAGAGCUUCUCCUCAAAUGCAUCUCAGUGCAUUUUUGCAUUUUAUAGCUCCUUGUGUUUUGUUUUUGUUUUUUCACUGCAAGUUUUAAUGAGUGUUGUUUUGCAUUAUGCAGUACCUCCAGGCUUCAAUUUAGCAUCUGGGAAAGUUGGCUUGACUCCAAGACUGUGGUCACCCAGUGCUUAUUACUCAUUAAGCCUCAUCGGAGGGCCGAGUGGGCGCAGGCUGGGUGGGUGCUGGGUGGGAGUUGCAGUGCUUGGUGCAUGUUGUUGUUGUGGAUGCUCUAGUUUUGAAACUAAACUUGGAGAUGAGAAAGUGAAGUGAGUUUAAAAAAGAAAGUGUUUAUCAUUUGCAUAUCCUUCUACUCUGUCAACAAGUGCAAUAUUUUUCCUACACAUCAUGGCUCUAGAGUAAAA